CAACCUCUGGCGGGCGCCAUUGGGGCGUGAAUGUUG
rfam:Roseobacter sp. CCS2 1101676645857, whole genome shotgun sequence.